CAGUCGGCUGUAAAGAAGGAAAAAGUUGUAUCAAUACGGCCUCACGUUCUGUUCUUGUAGCACCAUCAAUCCAGGACUAGGAAUGCUAUCACUGUGAAGCCUCUCUAUAUUUGUAUCCAUGGCUUUGGAGUGCUGUUCCUGGCGUUUUAAUGCCCUGCUCCACUGAUCAUCAUAAUUCAUAAAGUUCACCUGUCAGCAAAGCCCUCUUUCCCAUCAGAAUGAAUAUAAUGGGAGGGAUGGAGGAAGAGAGGGAUGUACAACGUGCACAAACUUGAAUAUGUGGGAGGAAUGUGUGUUUGCAGUGAUGUGGUGACCUAUUGCCAAAAGUCUCUACUUUCCCCAUUUGUCCUGAUUGUGACAGUCUUCACCCCCCAUGCAACGUAUCCUGUCCUAGUGGAUUUAAAUGUAGGGAUUUUUCAUACAUUUCUGCAGGCACCGCCUGUUGGAUUAAUUCUUAUGGGAAAAACUGCUUCUCUUCCCACUGAAUUCCUGGCUGUCACAAUUUUGGAGAAGGUGUCCUUGGUAGCCAGUGAGUCUAGCAGUGCCAGGCCAGUGGGACACAGCAGGACAGAGGCUGAAGCCAUCUGUGUUUUCCUGCUGCUGUGUCCAGUCCCGGGAUGGGUUUCUGGGUAAACUGUGACACUUCACAAGCACUAAGACAACCUGAGCCUAAACUGCUUCCACAUGCUGGGCUAAUCCUGUCAUGUGUCACUUGGCAAGUUACUGUUUCCUACAGGAAGUGUUGGCUGAGAUUUAGGAAGACAAAAUAUAAUGUUUAAUUUGUUUCAGUCUAAGGACUUAAAAAAUUCUGAGAAAUAAGUGAAAAGUAAAUUCCCACUUUUUAGGCUUUGCUCCACUUCUCUAUUAAAUCGAUUUGAUAGCACUGCUGAUGCUUGUGGGUAAGGCUACAUGAUGAAGAAAGACAAUUUUUCUUCCACAUAAGAAACUAAGUUAGUUUGAACUUCUUUUUAUCUAGUGGUUUUCUUCUGCUCAGGUCUGCAACUUGAUAAGAAAUAAGGUCCUCCACACCUCUCAACAUCAAAAAUUCUCAUAGCAUCAGAUCUUUUUCUGUAAAGAGACUGAAGACAUUUACAGUUAUCCACCACUUCGGGUUAUAAAGUUUGGAGGCUAGGACUUUAUUAGAGAGGGGAAAACGGUAUCUUCAAGUGUCCUGUGAAAACUUCAUUGUCAAGACUUUGAUUUUAUUUUGCAUUUCUCUUCCAUGCUGCAUUUCACACCAUUUGGUUACUAUGUUUCAGCUUUUGGUUCAUAAGUAUGCAGCACAUUCCUUACAUUUUUGCCAAGACUUUGAUGAAAAAACAAAUAUAUAGAUUUUAAAUACAUAGUUAGAUUUCAGCUGUAAUUAAUUUUCCUGAAAUAUAAAUGAUGUAGAAUUUUUCGCAGAUCCUAAAAAACCAAAACAAGCCAUAAACAUCAGGAUUUUAAGAAGCAUGAUCAUUGACUUUCUAAUUAAAAACAUCUUCUGUCCAAUGAAUAGUUUCCCUUGUCCUCCUAACAAAUAUUGCAGAGUAUUCCUUCUAAAUCAAGAAGCCAUUUGAAACUAUUGAGGCUGAUCAAAAAGAAAAUACAGUGUGAGAAAAAUUCUCUUGAUGGUUGCAGAGAUCUUACUCUCGUAUAGGAGCAGUUUCUCAUAUUUUUACGAUCUUACACUUGAAAUAGUUCUACUAUCUCCCAGAAAGCAUUUGUUACUAUGCAACACCAGUGGAGUGUAAGGAUCUGGUCCCUAAAGAGAGUAUCUUCACAAGCACUCACUAUUUGGUGAGAAACUGGCUCAGAGCUUUAUGACGUCGGAUGCCCAGGACCACUUGGCAAUUGAGAUAAACAAAAAAGGCUCCAAGGAAUCCAGAACAUAUGCUAAAAUGGAGAAAAAGAAGUAAAAGCAUGACAAACAACAUCAACCAAGCAAAUGAGUUUAAGUGGUUUAAUCUUCAGCUGUUUGUGAAGCCUUUAAAAUGUCACCUAGAGGAUUACUCCUACAGCAGCUCCUUUGAAGAUAUUCCCUAUCUGAUGAAAGGGGAGAAAUUAUUUUGGACCUCUUUGUCAUACACACUACCAUUUUGCCAAUUUUCUCUUGCUGAGAGGGGGAAAUCUCAUCUAUAAAAAUCUGUUAAAAAAAUCCAUAAAAAGAGACUGACAGUUCUCAGUGGGGGCUCGUGAAGAGCAACUGGGCAAAGACCAGUAUUGUCAGUACUUAAACAUCAGGUUGGAAGAGCAAAUAGUAAAAAUGAAGAGAGUUAUAAGUCUGAUUCAGUAAAAUUAUAUACCUACAACAAAUACUAGUAGUAAUAGGAAUUCUUGUGCCUAAAGCAAAGUAUAUCAUCUCUAUGAUCCUAAUCACUUAGGCUUAUGUUCCUGAUCUUAAUAAAGUAAGAAAAAAAGUGUAGUUGUCUAAGAAUUGGUGUGAUCCUUAGGCUCUGUAGCUUAAUAAGACUUGGAUAAAUAGGGCCUAAUACUCGAAUGUGAAAUAAAAAAAAAGGAAGAGUGAAAAAAGACUGCAUUUAGAAUUGGUAAGGGGAAGCCUUAUUGUAUGUGGCAAGUAAUUAAUGCACAUAAUACAGAGGAUAAACUGUUAAUGUUUUUAUUCUAUUAAUUUCUAAAAUUAAUGGGCUUUUGCUUUGUUAUAUGUCACGCAUGUUUUUGCCAAAUCUCAUUUAAUGAUUAAUUUAGUGUACUUAAAACAUUGUAUGUUGAAAAUAAUCCUGCUUUAUAAUUUAAAAAUUGCAGAGAAACAUGCUUAAACUAAAUAGAAAGCUUUUCACAGAAAAACAUGUCCAAUGAAUUACUCUUAAGUAUUUUAACUGAUUAGAACAGUGUCUAAAAUAGACCAGUCCCUUAGGCAAUAUAAGCCUAAAGACUGCACCGUGAACUGAAUUGCUUUGUAAUACUUUAUAUUAAAAUAUAGAUCUCUCCAUUCAUGUCUAUCGAUUUAUCAAUAAACUGGAAGUGCUCCUCUUGUAUAGAUUAUGCAAAUUAACAUUUGCUGACACAGAAAAACAAGAUCUACCUAUUGGCAGUGCUUGCCCUACCUGAAAGUGAAAAAAUAUGUUGGGUAGAAGCAGAGUUCAACUUUGAGACUUAAGAGAAUUUGGAGCAUUCCAAGUUGGCAUCGGGACUUUAUCCAAGACUAUCCAAGUCUUUAGGGUUGUUUUUUAUUUUAAAUACCAUGUUGGACACCCAGGCAUUUGAAAGCAUUUUGCAGUUGUCAUAUAUUCCUUUCCCAGCCUAUGUGCAGGGCUGAAAAAUGCCAGCUCUGUCAACUCUGUCCAAAACAUGGUGACAAGAAGUUUUGCAUUCUAACAACCAGCUGUAAAUCGCAAGGAUUACAUUUUUUUCCUUGCCAAUCUAAACCAAUAGAUUCCGCCAAGUUCAUUAGGCAAGUCUGUUUAAGGGGAAGAACUAAGUGAAUACUUGUUACUAGCAAAAACUCCUGUGUAUUCAUAGAUUUUUCAAUAUAUAUGAUAUCUUCAAAAAAUCCCACUUGAGUUCAUAGUCAAGUAAAUUAAUAGGAGGGCAGCCUACUAAAAGAAGCUAAAAACCCACAAAUAUAUUUCUGGUCUUGAAUGCAGGUCUUGCAACAGAGUAUGUUCACAACACCAGCACAGGCUUUUGUUCCUAUAGUGUUUUCCUUUCAUUAUGCUCUGCAGUGACUUCCCUGGAGCCUCUCUCAAGCUCUAACCAAAGAUGUUUCCUCACAGUAAUUCCAUACUCAUCUUUUCUCUAGUAUUUCCCAAUUUUCCUUUUUUUUAAGUUCAUUCUUUCAUUUCCUCCAAAUUAACCAUUGUUCUUACUGAGUCCAAUUGCGGUUGGCUACCCUUGUCACCGUGUUGGGUGUACCAACCUCUCUCAAAAAGGAUAAUCAUUCUGACCUUGUGAAAAGGAAACUUCAGGUUAAAUCUUUUGUCCCAUUUUGGUCAUGUGAAAAGGGUACCUGUUGGAUCUGUUCUUUUGGGGAUAAUGUCAAAACAGUUAAAAGGCCAUUCAGUAAGUCUAUUCCCAGUACUUUGACCAACUUAGACUUACUUUUUUUUUUACCUCCAAGCUUAAUUUCUGAAAAAGAUACAUGGAAAGGAAAUAACAAACAGCUUGAUAAUACCUGUAUUUCCUUCCUUAGCUGUUGUGAUACGUGGACACCAUUUCUGAAGGAAGAAUUCCAACAAACAGAAACCCACUUUGUUACAACCAAAGUGACUAAAAGUGAUGUACGGAAACUUUUUGGCAGAAGAAUUCCUAACACAGAUCAUACUAUAACCUUCGUAGAGCAAGGAGUCAGUUUCCUGGGAACUUACCCUAUUAUAGCAAAUGCUGGCAGCUCUUGCAGAUCAAAGGGGAAAUCCAUACGGAAGUUUGUUCUGAACAGCGCUGUGAUGGUAACUGUGAGAGAAGAAAGGUAGAGGAGGAAAGAAAAUAAUGAGUUGAGAAGUUAAAGAUAAUAAAAGCUAGGGGUAGGGACAAGGAAACUAGUUUAUACAUGCUCCUGUGUGGUUUCCUGACAUUAUAUACAUCAUUACAGAUUGGCAGACUGCUCUGAUUUAGUAGGUCCUAUUUUUGAGCACUUGCAAUCCUAUGCAAACUCUAGAUAGCCUAGGUUUGUUUUCAGAAAAUGUAUGCUUUUUUUUUUUAGCUACAAUCCCUGAUUUUUUAAAGGGUUUUCUUUUCUUUCUUGUCUUCUACCGUCCAUUCCUUAUUAAAAAAAAAGCUCUUCCCAGUAUCUUUACUGAAUGAGAGGUCUCUUUGCUGAGGUGGGCAGUGCCUGCACAUCUGAAGAAGCUAUGUCACUUCUCAUAGUUGUGAUUGCCUUCCAGAAACAAGACACAGAUCCUCUCUGAAGUUACAGCUUCAAAAUUUUUGACUGGUACCAAAAAAAUGAAAGGCUUAGAAAUCAGAGAUGGAAAAGAUCAGCUUAGCCCCAUCUUCUCCAGCUCACCUCUCCUGGUAGUGCUGCCCUGCUACAAUGAAAUGUUAAAACCUGUCCUGCUUUUCUCUGUAGGUGCAUUAUUGUGUGGAAACAGUAAACACCUGUAUGCCAACAGGUGAAGGAUAAAUUAGCAAUUUAAUACAGGGUGGAAGUGCAGCUGGAUGAGGAUGGAUAUAAAUCCCAAAUUGCCCUUGAUGAAGGAAUUAUUUGUUCAAUGAGGAAAUAAAAGAAGCAGUGAAAAUCUAGCAUUAUAUGAUAAUAACAGGAGGCAUUGACUACUCGUUAUUUGAUCAUACAGAACUAGGUUUAGAGUAAUGAUUUAGUGAGGUCUCAGUGGGUUACAUUACCUAAGAUAGCUAAGCCUAAAACUACAUUCUACUAUCCAAAUUGGGAUGAUCUUUCUCCCUGUCUCUUCCCCCUGUUCCUUCCCUCCCGGCUGCGCUAUUGUUCUCCUCUCCCGUUGGGCCCACUCUGGCACAUCACAGCCUUCUGUGAGUUCCUUUGCCUUAUUAAAACCUGCCAGAAAACCUAUCUGCUCUUUCCCUGGGUUACUCCUCUGCCAAGGAAGUGAGUUGAAUCAAGGGGAACAACGAACGCAGAGAUGGUACAAGGCAGGGGUAGAAGAACAGUCAGGGAUGGAAGAUGAUGAAAAGCAGGAUGUCCUCUUUUUUGUUAGAUCAGCCCAAGAAAGGGAUCAUCUCAAUUUAGUUUAAGGAAACAGAUAGUCCAAGCCACUAAAUGGCAGAGCAUUAAAAAAGUAUAGUAGGGCCCAUUUUCAAAGAGUUUUGCCACAGGGCAGCAUAGAUGACCACAGAAAAGGGAAACAGUCA